rnacentral:rRNA from 1 species
CCUACGGGAGGCAGCAGUAGGGAAUCUUCCACAAUGGGUGAAAGCCUGAUGGAGCAACGCCGCGUGGGUGAAGAAGGUCUUCGGAUCGUAAAACCCUGUUGUUAGAGAAGAAAGUGUGUGAGAGUAACUGUUCACGUUUCGACGGUAUCUAACCAGAAAGCCACGGCUAACUACGUGCCAGCAGCCGCGGUAAUACGGAGGUGGCAAGCGUUAUCCGGAUUUAUUGGGCGUAAAGGGAACGCAGGCGGUCUUUUAAGUCUGAUGGGAAAGCCUUGGGCUUAACCGGAGUAGUGCAUUGGAGACUGGGAGACUUGAGUGCAGAAGAGGAGAGUAGAACUCCAUGUGUAGCGGUGAAAUGCGUAGAUAUAUGGAAGAACACCAGGGGCGAAAGCGGCUCUAUGGUCUGUAACUGACGCUGAGGUUCGAAAGCGUGGGUAGCAAACAGGAUUAGAUACCCCUGUAGUC